rnacentral:lncRNA from 1 species
UAUAGCCUUUUGUAUCAUCCACGAAAACAAAAACAAAAACAAAAAAGAGUCUUUUUUUUUAUUACACAGAUUCAAAUUUGUAAAAUCUCAGAUUAUAUACGCCAAAAUCUCAAUCUUUAUAAAGUUUAUAGCUUUUUCAAAAUUAGAUUGUAAGGAACAAGAAUUGGUUCAAAGUUAGAACAUUUUUGAGUCACAGAAGAACAAUUCAAAAUGUGAAACCCACCAACACGCAUUAACAACCCCAGAUGGAGAAAGAUUCGAUUUUUUACAAUAAAAAUGUACACUUUUGAAAUAUAUAUGGAAAAAAACAGAGGAGAUUCUUGAGAUUUUGUGUACAAUUUUUAUAAAUUGAUAAUGGGAGAGAGAUUGUUCUUACAAGACUUGUGUAGGGGGAUGAGGGAAGGAUUCUUGUGCACCACCACCUCUGUCUUGUCUCCUCUCUCUCUCUCCGAUUGCCCGUGAGAGUUUUGCAGACAAAUUUGAAAUGAAUGUCUUUAUGUCCAGACCAAACUUGUCUCCCUCUCGAGAGAGAGAAAAAAAGGAAGAUUUUUUUUUUGGGAGGUGACUAUUUUGAGUUAUGUUUGAUUUGUUAAGCUGAUUUGGUUAUUUAUUGGGAUUUUGAAAAUUUUAAUUAUAUUCUUUCUGAAAAAACAAUUUGGAAUUUAUUGGCGCUUUGCAUGACUUUAAAUUUUCUUCUAUCUACUAAAUAUUGAAAAUGUACUACUCCUACUAGACAUUGUUUCCUUGUUCAGUAAAUUAUUUCCCCUUU